AAUCCAUGGCGAGGGCAUUCCAUGGUAUAUCCUCUAAAUCUUUCCCAAACCUCACGAAAGGAUUCAUGGUUCUUCUAGAUGAAACUUGAGAUUUCAUUUCUCAACCU
rnacentral:snoRNA from 1 species